rnacentral:lncRNA from 1 species
GACAGGCUGGGCGACAACGGGGAUGGGAAGGAGGUUGGGAGGCAGGGAGUGCGGGGAGGUCGCCCCCCGGAGAUGCAGGUGGGUCCGGGUGAGCCCACGACCCGGGGCUCCCCCCAGGGGAGGCAUCCCCACAGCUCAGCCCCACCAGCACAGCCAGCACCCCGCGGCAUGGCAGGGCAUGGCGGUGCCCCACGGGGGGACAGCGGGGGCUCAGGGGGGACACGCGUGGGUCCUGGGGGGGGAGAAAGAAGGCAGUGGGUGAGGGACGGGGCGCCNNNNNNNNNNNNNNNNNNNNGGGGGGGGGGGGGGGGGGGGGGGGGGGGGGGGGGGGGGGGGGGGGGGGGGGGGGGGGGGGGGGGGGGGGGGGGGGGGGGCGGGGGGGGGACGGGGUGGGUGCGGGGGGGGGGAGAAAGAAGGCAGUGGGUGAGGGACGGGGCGCCACGGAGGGGAGUGCAGAGAGGGGAGGUGGGCGGAGGGGCACGGCUCGGCACGGCUCGGCACGGCUGCGAGGAGCCACGCAGGAGCCAACGGGGCGCAGGUGGGUGCCCCCGGCCAGCUCGGCGCUACCUGCCGGGGCCGGGAAGCCGCUCCUCUCCCCCCCCUUUAUCCCCUCCGCGCCCCCCGCCCCGGCUGGGUGCCAGGGCUGGGGCUGUGCCCUGUUUGUUCGGCGGCUCUUCCGCGCUGCCGAUGUCUUGGGGGGCUGAGGAGGAGAAGGAGGAGAAGGAGGAGGAGGAGGGCGGGGAGGGGGAGGGGACUGGGGCUUGGGAGACGGCGGCUCCUCGGCCUCUCUUAUUGCCGCUGAGUUGCGCUCCUCUUCCUCAGGCUGCGAGCAGGAGCCGCCCGGCCGCUUCCCCCUUCCCCGGCCGGCCGGGACUCCCCGCGGCAGCGCCGCGCCCGCCCGCUCGCUCCCCACCGGGGCAGAGCACUCCCCGGAGCCCGCCCCGAGGUGCCAACAGCAGCCGCCGGGAUUUUUGUCUGUCUUGUUUGUGUGUGUUUUUUUUUUUUUCCUUUUUUUUUUUUUUUUUUUUUUUCCCCUCGCUUUCUUUUGGUUUUGUAGUCUCGCUGGGAAUGGCAGGGGCAGGGGCGCCUGGAGAAGGAACAAGUGGGGGGAAAGGGGGGGGGAGCC